rnacentral:rRNA from 1 species
CUAAGCNUCCGUANCNUGCUAGAUAAGUCCUCUGUUAAAUCCCCGANUCAAUCGUUGGAUUGCGGGGGAUACUGNUUGGCUAGGGGACGGGAGAGGUCNACGGUAUUUCCGGGGUAGGGGUGAAAUCCUAUAAUCCCGGGAGGACCACCAGUGGCGAAGGCUGUCGACUAGAACGCGCCCGACGGUGAGGGANGAAAGCUGGGGGAGCNAACCGGAUUAGAUACCCGGGUAGUCCCNGCUGUAAACGAUGCNNGCUAGGUGUUG